rnacentral:rRNA from 1 species
CUGGCUCAGGACGAACGCUGGCGGCGUGCUUAACACAUGCAAGUCGAACGGUGAAGCCCUUCGGGGUGGAUCAGUGGCGAACGGGUGAGUAACACGUGGGGAAUCUGCCCUG